AUUGAACGCUGGCGGCAGGCCUAACACAUGCAAGUCGAGCGGAUGAGUGGAGCUUGCUCCAUGAUUCAGCGGCGGACGGGUGAGUAAUGCCUAGGAAUCUGCCUGGUAGUGGGGGACAACGUUUCGAAAGGAACGCUAAUACCGCAUACGUCCUACGGGAGAAAGUGGGGGAUCUUCGGACCUCACGCUAUCAGAUGAGCCUAGGUCGGAUUAGCUAGUUGGUGAGGUAAAGGCUCACCAAGGCGACGAUCCGUAACUGGUCUGAGAGGAUGAUCAGUCACACUGGAACUGAGACACGGUCCAGACUCCUACGGGAGGCAGCAGUGGGGAAUAUUGGACAAUGGGCGAAAGCCUGAUCCAGCCAUGCCGCGUGUGUGAAGAAGGUCUUCGGAUUGUAAAGCACUUUAAGUUGGGAGGAAGGGCAGUAAGUUAAUACCUUGCUGUUUUGACGUUACCAACAGAAUAAGCACCGGCUAACUUCGUGCCAGCCGCCGCGGUAA
rnacentral:rRNA from 1 species